CAAUAUCACCCCAAAAAGAGUAUCAAAUCAUCAGCAAACCAAACAUGGGUUGUAUUGAGCUUUUUACACUUUGGGUGAAACUUAAACAUUUUGUUCUGAUAAAGUCUGUUGUAUUAGCUAUUUGUUGCCACGUCUUCUUCUCUAAUUUACUCCAGUUUUCAAGUUCUGAAGCAUCUUCUUCUCAUUUUCAAUCAAAACAGAAUUAUCAAAAUCUAGAGCCGAUUUCUUUUGGAUAUCAAGUGAUUGAAUUUUAGUGUGCUCAAAUCUUUGAGUUGUAUUCUGAAAUAAAGUAUUCAAAUAUUUCAAUACAAGAUAUCCAUGACCAAUUUGGUAGCGAUAGAUGUAUUGCGGGAUAAAGAUUGGAUGGUUAAGUAUAAAAGAUCAAUCUGUCAUGAGAGAAGUAUUUGAUUGUUAAUAUGGCAUUGAAGAUAUUAACCGCAGAAGAGAGAAAUCAUCUAUAUGAAAGAAUGCGUAGAUGUAUAGUUUGUAUUCGAAAUGAGAGAGAACUUUAUGGUGGAGGAGUUUUUGCAGAGGUUCGUUCUAAACAAAUGAUAUUGACAUGUGCUCAUGUUGCACACGGAAAAAAAAAAUUGCGGAUCGAUUGUUUUGAUAGAAAAAGUGAUUUGGCAAUUUUGGAUGUUGUAAACAAACUUGAAGGCGGUUUUCAGUGUGCUCAACUUCUUGAAGAGAAUGAUAUGAUUAUGGAUUUAAGGCUUCAGAGACUCACUUCAUUGGUCAUCCAGGACGCCUAGCUUUUUCUUACAAUGUCGGUAAUAUCUCUUGUGUGGAAAGAACAUGCGGAAACAUUUAUCAUGAGUUGCAGCUAGGUGUUUCGCCGGAUUUUCCAAGAGAAUCAAAUCCACUCUUUGUUGAUGAUUUCAGAGGGCUUAGUGCUUCAUUGAGAUUGAUUCAAGCUAAAAAUCUUCACGGUGGGGGUAGAUUUGGUGGUACCGGGGCCCCUUUUUUGAAUAGCAAUGGGCAUAUUGUAGGGUUAUAUAGCUUUACACAUUAUGAAGAAGAUUAUGCUAUUCAAGUUGCUGAAAUUCAGAAAGCAUUGAUGUCUGUAAGGCAUUAAUCUUUGACAAGUAGUAGUAAAGAUUCUAAUUAGCUAAGCAAAGUAGUAUAAAUAGGAGUAGAGUAGUAUGUGUAAGAAAAUCUGUAUUCGAUCAUUUGUAACACAUUAACUUCAAUCUAUCAAUUAACUUGUCUUCUAUUGUUGUGUUUUCUUGCUUUGUUUGAGCUGUUAGUCUAACCUUGAGGGCGUAGUACGUUGCAUCCCCUGUCUUUUUGACAUCUUAUCCUUGUCAAUUCUUCACUGUUGUUCGUUAUGAAGUUUGGUGUGCAGUUCUCAGCUUCUGUUGUCUUACUGCUGUCCAUUUCUUCUUCUGGUAGAUUUAUGACGCUUCUUUUGUAGUAGAAACAUAUUAACUUGAUGGGUAAUAUUUUUCAUUAAAUAUGUCCAUGCUGCUGUACUUUUCGGCUUGUUUCCAUAUUUUUGUUUGCUAACCUUCGUCAUUGUUAUUGUUGUAAUAUUCUUGACAGGCAUCAUGUUUCUUGGAGCUCUUGUAAACCUGAUUUCUUACCUAUUGCCAUGACUUGUUGGAAGUUUAGGACUCACCUCUUUAACAUUGCUGUACUGUUAUGGCAUUUGCAGAGACAUGGGUUACAAGUUGAGCUCCUCCAGCCUCUAUUAUACUAGCAUCUCUGAAGUUCAUCUAGUUUUACGUUUUCUUAUGCAGGAUCUUCUCUGUACUGGGCUUUCAUAGCAUUUAUUGAUCUGCUUCUAUUUUUGUUUGAUAUUAUUUUUGCUGUCACGAUAGCUAAUAUGUUACCUGGAUAAGACUUGCUGAUCCUGUUUUGUA